rnacentral:rRNA from 1 species
AUUCCAGCUCCAAUAGCGUAUAUUAAAGUUGUUGCAGUUAAAAAGCUCGUAGUUGGAUUUCUGCCAGGGUGCCAAUGUCCGCCGAAGUGCGUGCGCAGCGGCGCCCUCGCAUCCUUCUGUUAACGCCUCUCGGCAUUUACUUGCCGGUGGUGGGCUCAGAUAAUUUACCUUGAGAAAAUUAGAGUGUUUCAGGCAGGCUAGGCCGGAAUACAUUAGCAUGGAAUAAUGGAAUAGGACUACGGUCUCGUUGUUGGUUUGAGGGACUGGAGUAAUGAUUAAUAGGGGUAGUUGGGGGUAUUCAUAUUUGAUUGUCAGAGGUGAAAUUCUUGGAUUUAUGAAAGAUGAACUUAUGCGAAAGCAUUUACCAAGGAUGUUUUCAUUA